rnacentral:rRNA from 1 species
GACGAACGCUGGCGGCGUGCCUAAUACAUGCAAGUCGAACGGAAAGGCCAUGCUUUUGCGGCUUUCUCGAGUGGCGAACGGGUGAGUAACACGUGAGUAACCCCCCCUUGUCUUUGGGAUAACUCCAGGAAACUGCGGCUAUUACAGGAUAGGAGCUCCUGCUGCACGUGGGGGGUUGGAAAGAUACGGUGGUUGGGGAUGGACUCGCGGGUUACCAGCCGGUUGGUGUGGUAGGGGCUUACCAAGGCUUUGAAGGGUAGGCGGCCUGAGAGGGUGACCGGCGACAUUGGGACUGAGGUAGGGCGCAGAAGCGUACGGGCGGCAGCAGUGGGGAGUAUUGCGGAGUGGGGGGACGCCUGAGGCAGAAGCGCCGGGUGCGGGAUGCCGGGCUUCGGGUGGUGAACCGCUUUGGCCGGUGACGAAGCGUGAGUGACGGUAAUGGGUAAGGAAGCCCCGGCUAACUACGUG